AAUGGAGGAAACUCUGAUGCAGCGACGCCGCGUGAGUGAAGAAGGUCUUCGGAUCGUAAAACUCUGUCCUUGGUGAAGAAAAGGACGGUAGCCAAGGAGGAAGCCCCGGCUAACUACGUGCCAGCAGCCGCGGUAAUACGUAGGGGGCGAGCGUUGUCCGGAUUUACUGGGCGUAAAGGGUGAGUAGGCGGUUGUAUAUGUCAGGUGUAAAAGGCUAUGGCUUAACCAUGGUUAGCACUUGAAACUGUGCAACUUGAGUGCAGGAGAGGUAAGCGGAAUUCCUAGUGUAGCGGUGAAAUGCGUAGAUAUUAGGAGGAACACCAGUGGCGAAGGCGGCUUACUGGACUGUAACUGACGCUGAGUCACGAAAGCGUGGGUAGCAAA
rnacentral:rRNA from 1 species